GUUNUAAAGAAAAUUUAAUUUUAAGUCCAAUCUGCCCAAUGAUUAUAUUUAAUGGCUGCAGUAUCUCUAACUGUACAAAGGUAGCAUAAUAAUUUGUUUUUUAAUUAAAAACUAGAAUGAAAGAUUAAAUGAAAUAAAAACUGUUUCAAUUAAAUUUAAUUAAAUUUUUUAUUUAAGUAAAAAAACUUAAAUUUUAUAUAAAGACGAUAAGACCCUAAAGAAUUUUAUUUAUUUAAUUAAAAUAUUUUUAACUAAAUAAAUUUAAUUGGGGUAAUUAAAAAAUUAAAUAAAUUUUUUUUUAAUAAAACAUUUAUAAAUGAAUUUUAUAUCUUAAUUUUUAAAUUAAAAAUAUUAAUUACCUUAGGGAUAACAGCAUAAUUUUUUUUGAGAGUUCUUAUUUAUAAAAAAGAUUAU
rnacentral:rRNA from 1 species